UGCUCUUUCUUUGCUCUGGUUCCUGCAUAAGCAUCCCCUCUGGGGGGUCAGAGUUGAUGAUGGUUGUAAGACGGGUCUCUGCUAUACUGUGGGAUGGGGGGGAUAGCCAUGGAGUCUGAAGGACUGGGGAAGACAGAGGGGAGCAGCCCAGUCUGGAAUGGGAUCAUGAUGGAUUGCAAGAGAAGUUGUGUCCCUCUGGCAGCGAUUCUCCCCUUCACCUUCAAGAGAGAGAAGUAACUCGGGGAUACAUUUUUAAUGCAGAUUCAAUUCCUAUAUGGCACUCUAAAUACUAAGCUGAAGGCUAAACAUAAAUGUUUGCAGUCUUCAAUCAAGAAACUUCAGUGGUGAUGUGGGAAUAGUGGGGCUGCUGGCACUGGAGAGACAGAAAUACAGAUAGAUGUUUUCACUUGUCUGGGUGUUGCUGCCAUUCAUUAGACUUCUCACAACUGCUCACCAAAAUACCUUCAGAGGUAAUAACAAAAUCAACCAAUGCAUCUGUGUUUAAAAGGUCCUCUACUCAUGUAUUGCAAUUCUCUGGCAAAAGAUUUUUUGGGACAUCAUGCAGGAAUUAUACUAACUGUUGAGGGAACAUUUCUUAGCGUGUACUGGUGACAUCUUUUCAUGUAAAUGACUGAGAACCUGGUGAGAGGAGAGAUCUUGCUUGGACCUCCUAUUCACAAAGGAAGAAUGGGUAAGGGAUGUGAAGGUUAAGGAUUGCUGCAGCUACAGUGACUGUGAGAUGACAGUGCUCAAGAUUCCAAAAGGAUUAAGGCAAAAAGCAGGAUUGUAUCCCAGACCUCAGGAGAGCAGGCUUUAGCCUGUUUGGGGACCAAGAAGAACACAGACAUACUGCCCAGUUCUGCAGGGAUAGGGUUAGGAAAGCCAAGUCCUGAUAUGGGAUACAAAAGGUGCCAAGAAUGACUUUGAGUACAGCAGCAGAAAAAAGCAGGGUGGGGAAAACAUGAGCCCACUGGUGAAGAGGACCUGGUGACAAAGGGCACAGGAAUGUCUGAGGUACUGAAUCCCAUUUUUAUCUCAGUCUUUAGUAGUAAGACUAGCCAGAACUCUGGAGCAAGGGAGAUGUCCUCCUCCUUGAUGGAGAAGAACCAAAUUAGGGAACACUUAAGCAAACUGGAUGUACUGAACAAACUGCCCAUGGGAUGUGUUGAGACAUACCCAGGAAUGCUUUGAGAAGUGGCUAAUAUCAUUGCAAGACUGCAUUUAAUUAAAAAAUUAAAUGCUCUUUGGGAGCUCAUGGGAAACAGAGGAAGAUCCUGAGGACUGGAAGAAGGUUGAGCUGAGGAAGGGAGUGACAGAGAGGCUUUGGUGGGCACCAGGCAUCCAGUCAGGGUCAACCCACCUCAGUCAGAAAACCAGACAUUUUCAGUGUUUAUCUGGCUGCAUAAAGAAAGUGACUAACAAGAGCAUGAAUAGUUAACCUGUAAAUAAAGAUUCAGAGAUUACAUGAAAGGACAGAUAGCAAAGCACAGACACUAAAGUGGUAUGUGAGUUUUUUAAAUUUUUUCUCCUGUCCACUAUACGCAAAACAAGCACAGCUAGUAAUUAUUUGCAGCUCUCUUGGAUUCUCACUUUUAAUAAGCAGGUUUCAAUUUAAAUGAUACCUUUGUGCUGGCUGCACCAGUUGCUGCAUUGCUGAGAUGCUUGGGAAAAUGAGCUGAGCCAGCCCACUCCUGGUGUCUGAGUGUUUAGAAAAGCAGCUGAUGAAAACACUACCUACCCCUUCUGAAGGUGGCUGCUGCACUCACACGUAGCUGUCCUUACUUAUGUAUAAAUUUAAGUUGUAAGGACUGAAAUUUUGAAUGUGCAUUGUGAAAGUGGCACUAAAGACAGAAGAUACAUUCCCAAAGCUAUGUGAGCCAAGAAUGACUUCACCUUUUCCAGCCUCAAGAACACCAAGGAACACAGCAGCUGAUCUGAGAGCUUUUUUGCUUCCAAGAUGCAAGAGAUCUCUUCCUGCUCAAAUAUUCUUUUCCCCUCAAGUUGUUUGUUUUUUUUUUUCAUACCCCACUGUUAUUAAUUUACACCUUGCCAGGAUUUGUAAGACUGAUUUUAUUGCUGUUGUUGUGGGAACAGAAUUCUCAGCCAUAUGGCAUGACAUCUUCAUUUCUGCAUGACAGGAGACAGGAUCCAUUUUACAGUUUUGCAGUGCUGCAAAAAAAAAGCCUUAAUUUUCUUAGGGAAGAUCCAUAUUAAAAUAGAGAAAUAUAUAUAUAUAUAUGUAGUGAACAAAUUCUUUCCCAAGGGACUAACUUGGACUGGAAAUGCUUAAAAGAAUAUUUUGGUCUUCUGCAUAAAUCCAAAAUUUGCCCAUCACAGUAAUACAUUUUUAAUUUGGCUGAACUUUGGUCUGUUUGUUUUUUAAAUUUUGUCAUUUGGUGGGUUUUUGGGGGUUGUUUCUUGGUUGGUUGUGUUGUUGUUGGUAUUUUUCCAACUGUAGAAAUAACAGGAGAGAGGCCAAAACCCCUGACCCAGGACAGGGAAGUGCCACAAAUUUUCAUGUGCAUACUGAUGGUCUGUGUCCAGUAUUCCUGACCUAGCAGGGCUGGUGUCUCAUAAUCUAACUAUCUUGGCUUUGAACAUAUGGAGUGCCUUGUCUUGGUCUAAAAAGAAAUAAUACCACCCAUACUAAGAUGAUUGUUUCACUGUGAAAGUUCCCCUGAAGAUGAAGAUCCAAUAACAGAAGGAUUUCUACCCUCUGACUUUAAUUAGAUGCAUCAGUCUUGCAUCUUCUCUGAGAAAAUGAACUGACUUGUUAAUAAUACAGCUUAAGGGUGUUUUCUAAUGAGAAUUUAAACUGAUAUGCUAUCGACCAAUGUCAUCCAUUCUGGGCUGUGCAGGAGGGUGUCCCUCCUGAUGUUUUGCAUAGAUGUGUAUUUUGG